UACGGGGGGGGCAAGCGUUGUUCGGAAUUACUGGACGUAAAGGGCUCGUAGGCGGCCAACUAAGUCAGACGUGAAAUCCCUAGGCUCAACCUAGGAACUGCGUCUGAUACUGGAUGGCUUGAAUCCGGGAGAGGGAUGCAGAAUUCCAGGUGUAGCGGUGAAAUGCGUAGAUAUCUGGAGGAAUACCGGUGGCGAAGGCAGGUCUCUGGGCUGACACUGACGCUCAUGCACGAAAGCGUGGGGAGCAAACAGG
rnacentral:rRNA from 1 species